rnacentral:rRNA from 1 species
UACGGGAGGUGCAAGCGUUGUUCGGAGUGACUGGGCGUAAAGCGCACGUAGGUGGGCUUGUAAGUCGAAUGUGAAAUCCCCGGGCUCAACCCGGGAACUGCGUCCGAUACUGGAAGGCUUGAAUCCGGGAGAGGGAUGUGGAAUUCCAGGUGUAGCGGUGAAAUGCGUAGAUAUCUGGAGGAACACCGGUGGCGAAGGCGACAUCCUGGACCGGUAUUGACGCUGAGGCGCGAAAGCCAGGGGAGCAAACGGG